GAGUUUGAUCCUGGCUCAGGAUGAACGCUAGCGAUAGGCCUAACACAUGCAAGUCGAGGGGCAGCACGGGAGCAAUCCUGGUGGCGACCGGCGCACGGGUGAGUAACACGUAUGCAACCUGCCCAUAACUGUGGGAUAGCCCGUCGAAAGACGGAUUAAUACCGCAUAACACAGGGGCUCCACAUGGAGAUAUUUGUUAAAGAUUUAUUGGUUAUGGAUGGGCAUGCGCAGGAUUAGGUAGUUGGUGAAGGUAACGGCUCACCAAGCCCUCGAUCCUUAGGGGAACUGAGAGGUUAAUCCCCCACACUGGUACUGAGACACGGACCAGACUCCUACGGGAGGCAGCAGUGAGGAAUAUUGGUCAAUGGUCGAGAGACUGAACCAGCCAAAUCGCGUGAAGGAAGACGGUAUUAUGUAUUGUAAACUUCUUUUAUUGGGGAAUAAAGUGCAUCACGAGUGAUGUUUUGUAUGUACCUGAUGAAUAAGCAUCGGCUAACUCCGUGCCAGCAGCCGCGGUAAUACGGAGGAUGCGAGCGUUAUCCGGAUUUAUUGGGUUUAAAGGGUGCGUAGGUGGUUUCUUAAGUCAGCGGUGAAAUCUCGGAGCUUAACUCCGAAACUGCCGUUGAAACUGGGGGACUUGAGAUUGAACGAGGUAGGCGGAAUUUAUAGUGUAGCGGUGAAAUGCAUAGAUAUUAUAAAGAACUCCGAUAGCGCAGGCAGCUUACCAGGUCACAUCUGACACUGAGGCACGAAAGCGUGGGUAUCAAACAGGAUUAGAUACCCUGGUAGUCCACGCAGUAAACGAUGAUUACUCGCUGUUUGCGAUAUACAGCAAGCGGCUUAGCGAAAGCGUUAAGUAAUCCACCUGGGGAGUACGCCGGCAACGGUGAAACUCAAAGGAAUUGACGGGGGCCCGCACAAGCGGAGGAACAUGUGGUUUAAUUCGAUGAUACGCGAGGAACCUUACCCGGGCUCGAACGGCUAUAGAAUAACGAUGAAAGUUGUUAGCCAGCAAUGGCUGUA
rnacentral:rRNA from 1 species